AAUCAUUUGGCAAAACAUCAUGAGUAAGGAUGAUGCUCUUUUUCCUGAAACGACUCUCCAAGACAGGAAAAGGAUUAUGUAGAUGAUGGAGAAGUAAGAGAGCCAGAAGAAGAGUAGGACAUUGGUAGGACUCAAAGAGACGGGGGUCCUGGAUACAUUUUCCUGAGCUAGUCCAGAGAGGAAGCAAAACCCCAGAAAUGAGUAAGCAACCCACCGAAAUGCCCGGAAGCACUAAAUGAAAUUCCAGAGAGUGAUUGAAAGUGUUGAUCCAGAAGGCGGUCAGACAGUGUUGGGGAACUCUGCUGUCGGUUUAAUUGAAAAUGAAUCCAAAACCAAGCCGUCCACUUCAACCUGGGCUCUUUACACUACCACCGUGCCCACGAUGCUAUGAGCCAGAAAACCUGGGAACAGUGAUGUGAUAAAGCUCAAAGAUGAAGAAGCAACAUCAGAGAAAGACAGAUAAAUGGCUCUUUGAGUUUGUUCUUCUUGACAUUGUUGAAGAGAGGGGCAGUUCUCUCAAAGCUUUUAUCUGCUUACUUGGAUGUACUGGAGAAAGGGAACAAGGAACGUCAGAGAACAAGU
ensembl:lncRNA